rnacentral:rRNA from 1 species
GACAGAGGUGCCAAGCGUUAGGCGGAAUCACUGGGCUUAAAGCGUGUGUAGGUGGAUGCCUAAGUACCUUGUGAAAUCCCACGGCUCAACCGUGGAACUGCUCGGUAUACUGGGUGUCUUGAGCCACUUAGGGGCUACCGGAACAAAUGGUGGAGCGGUGAAAUGCGUAGAUAUCAUUUGGAACGCCAAUGGUGAAAACAGGUAGCUGGGAGUGUGCUGACACUGAGACACGAAAGCCAGGGAGCGAACGGG